ensembl:misc_RNA Metazoa_SRP Metazoan signal recognition particle RNA
GCUGGGCGUGGUGGCUCAUGCUUGUAAUCCCAGCUACUUGGGAGGCUGAGGCAGGAGAAUCGCUUGAACCCAGGAGGCAGAGGUUGCAGUGAGCUGAGAUGGUGCCACUGCAUUCCAGCCUGGGCGACAGAGUGAGACCCUGUCUCCC